GCUGGGCACGGUGGCGCGUGCCUGUAAUCCCAGCUACUCAGGAGGCUGAGGCAGAAGAAUCGCUUGAACCCAGGAGGCGGAGGUUGCAGUGAGCCGAGAUCGCGCCAUUGCACUCCAGCCUGGGUAACAAGAGCGAAACUCCGCCUCAA
rnacentral:sRNA from 1 species